rnacentral:tRNA from 1 species
GGUUCCAUGGCUCAGUUGGUUAGCGCGUGGUGCUAAUACUUAAUGUGUUACGCCAAGGUCGAGAGUUCGACCCUCUCUGGAACCA